rnacentral:rRNA from 1 species
GAGUAACGCGUGAGGAACCUGCCUUUCAGUGGGGGACAACAGUUGGAAACGACUGCUAAUACCGCAUGAUACUUUUGGGAGACAUCUCCUGGAAGCCAAAGCUUUAUGUGCUGAAAGAUGGCCUCGCGUCUGAUUAGCUAGUUGGUGAGGUAACGGCUCACCAAGGCGACGAUCAGUAGCCGGUCUGAGAGGAUGAACGGCCACAUUGGGACUGAGAUACGGCCCAGACUCC